UCGCUUCUUCUAUUUUUGCUUCCUUUUGCAGGCCAUCCGGCAUUGAUUGCUCGUCAUCGGCCAUUUCCUGUCACACAUGAAGCAGCAGAGAGGUGGUUACACCACAUGCACCAAGCAUUAGAUAGCACCCAGAAUAUUGGCCCUGAAUCAAAAACCAAGAUGAUGAACUUCUUCAGGCACACUGCAUUCUUUCUCGUAGCUGGAAAUGAGAUGACCAAGCAAGCGCAACCUCCCUGUAAACAUGCGGCAAGUAAAUCAGCUGCAGUUUCAGAUGAUUGAUUAUUGAAAUUUGGAAUUUAUAAUUAAAGUUCAUAUUCAUGAUUUA